GCGGGCGUAGCUCACUUGGUAGAGCAUCACGUUGCCAACGUGAUUGUCGUGGGUUCGAAUCCCAUCGCCCGCUCCA
rnacentral:tRNA from 1 species